UUUCUGUGUUUCGACUUCUCUUUACAUUAAAAAUAAUCUAAAACCUUUAAAAACUUAAUACUAAUUUAAAACGUAAUUAAAACAAUAAUAUAAACAGUUUAAAACUCUAAAACUUUAAAAACGGUUAAAACUUUUCACACCGAAGUGUUUUAUCUUUACAUUGGGAGAAGCCCAUUAUUUGAGAUCGAUCACCGAUCAUAUUUACAUUUCCAGGGAACAUUUCGAAAAAAAACAAGUUUUCGAAGAUCAAACGAAGAAUACCAAAAAUCAGCCGCCAUGUUUUUGUUCGAUGAUUCACCGGUAAUCAAUUUCACCACCACUUUCAAAUUUGGAUUUUAUUUCGAUAUACGAUGAGUACCGAUUGACUAGUCUAUCUUGUGAUCUGCCUUGAGGCUUUUUGAAUUUAUCCGGUGAUAACGAAUUACCCAUGAAAGGCUAUUUCGAUAAAUUUCUACGUUGUGAUUUGUGCUGCGACGAUGCUUUUUCACGUCGUUCGAUGCGAGAUAAUUUUUUUGAAAACGUUUGACGAAUUUGGUCAUUAGAGGCGACAACUGUAUAUCGCUAGCUUGGCUACUUAUUCGAUGUGGUUGAAUUCACCGAUACGUACAGGUAAUUAGCGUUCUUAUUGAUUACAUUGUGUUCGAAGUGUUUAAUUUUUUCACUUUUCGUAGCCGAAUUGCUGUUCACCGAUAAGCCAAGAUGGAAUUUCGACUACUACUAGUUAUACUAAUACGAUAUUGACGUGAUGAUUACUUGUACGGUGUACUAUUUACAGAGAUGGGGCGAUUCACAAAAAAAAUGAAUCGGAUUCAAAUGGCGCGAUUCGCCCAAAAAAUCGAAUCCGAUUCAAAAUUAGCGAUUCACUUUUCAAGUGAAUCCGAUUCUGAAUCGGACUCAAAUGCACUCGCGAUUCAAAAAUUGCGAUUCACGAUUCAAUUUUUAUAUUUUUGCAAAUUUUACUCUAUUGCUGCCCUGAGCGAAUUAAAGGGGACAUCCUAAGGAACAUUGUAAAGCAAACUCGCCCAAAACUUACAAAAUUGCGGCCAUUUUCAUUGACAUUGACAGGUCAGCUGAAAUCGCAGAUUUUGCGUUUCAACAUAGGACUUGCAUGAAGUUGUUCAAACUUCACAAAGGUAAAUCGAAAGAUCAUGCUAAAAUUUAUCACCUGUCAAAAUUUCAA